GGAAAGUGUAAAAGGUGACUUGAAAAAUCACAGUAGGAAAACUCGCUUCUGUAAGCAGGAAGGCUCAGGAUGGUGAGUGAUCUUCAAAGGCAAGGACUGGGAAAAUGAACAGAUAUCAAGAUCCCAGAAGUAGCUGAUGCAAAAAUCACAUCUCCCAACCAAAGAAGACAAGAGACUCUCUACAUCAAUGGAUGACUGCCAUCAAGCACCCUGAGCUCCUCUUUGACCAGAACAGCAAAAUAAAGCAGGCUAAAGUCAUCACAUAAAUGCUACAUUGCAGAAGUUACGUUUCUUUUGUUAAAAGGAGUGAAUUAAUGAAGAAAGAAUGAGUCUACAAGUAAACUCUCAGCAUACAGCAAACUGACCCCCACCAAGCUGUGAACACUCAAAGAUUCAUGUAGCCAAGAAAGUUUCUGCAAUCCAUCACAGAAAUAUGCACUUUAAAAGGAC
rnacentral:lncRNA from 1 species